UAUACCACAGACCACACCUGUGUGUGUGUGCAUGUGUGUGUCUGUUUCUGUGUGUACUCAGGAACUGAGGGUGUGAAUAAACAUUUCCUUUGACUCAGUGAGAUGAGCAUGGCUGAAGGUCUCAGGGUCUCUCCUGCAGACAUGAACAGCACAGAGAACCAGGAUGAAGGCUUGAGUGGAUACCAAGGUUUCAGGUCACGGGGAUGGGUGGUAUUUCUGGCUGCCAUUGCUGUGGUCGUCACCACUGUUCUUUUAUACUCUAUCAUCCUUCAACUUUGCAAAUUCCGUGCAAACAGGACCGCCCAAGCUGCACCAGAGGACGAGACACACACCCAAGCUGCACCAGAGGACGAGACACACACCCAAGCGGAGUUGGUGAGGAGAGUGAACAAGAAACAAGAAAGAGGUCACAGCUACCAGGAGAAAAUUAACCCUCUAUACGACACAACACACAUAGUCUGGAACACAAACCCUAAGCCCAACCAUAACCCUGACCUUCAAUGUUACCCUAUCUCUGAGGCAUAGACAGCAACACCGCAGCCGAGACACGCACUUGAACUGGCUCCAAAUAGCUUGACUUGGCUCUUUGGAGGUUUCUUUCUAUGACAAAGAUUUUAUUUUAUGUCCUUUUCCCAUCAUGUCAAUCUUUUUUCUCAUAGUGUGAUAAAAUGUCAUCAAACCAACUUCAAGUCCUCUUUUGUCAAUAUCUGUUCUAUCUAUCUAUCUAUCUAUCUAUCUAUCUAUAGCAGGGCUUACAUACCAUUUACUGGCAUGACUGAAAACCUGAGCUCAUGGGCAGAUAUUCCAUUUCACUGUUGGGGGGGACAAUAAACAGAAAAAUCUCUCAAGAGCA
rnacentral:lncRNA from 1 species